rnacentral:misc_RNA from 1 species
AGCAGCCGCGGUAAUUCCAGCUCCAAUAGCGUAUAUUAAAGUUGUUGCAGUUAAAAAGCUCGUAGUUGAAUUUCGGGAUCAAUAUAUCGGUCGUGCCUUGGUACGUACUGGUAUCAUUGGUUUCUCCUUUCUGACGAACCAUGAUGUCAUUAAUUUGGUGUUAUGGGAAGUUAGGACUGUUACUUUGAAAAAAUUAGAGUGUUUAAAGCAGGCUUUGGCUUGAAUACAUUAGCAUGGAAUAAUGAAAUAGGACGUUCGAACCUAUUUUGUUGGUUUCUAGGAUCAACGUAAUGAUUAAUAGGGAUAGUUGGGGGCAUUAGUAUUCAAUUGUCAGAGGUGAAAUUCUUGGAUUUAUUGAAGACUAACUACUGCGAAAGCAUUUGCCAAGGAUGUUUUCAUUAAUCAAGAACGAAAGUUAGGGGAUCGAAGACGAUCAGAUACCGUCGUAGUCUUAACCAUAAACUAUGCCGACUAGGGAUCGGAUGAUGUUAAUUUUUUAAUGUACUCAUUCGGCGCCUUA